rnacentral:lncRNA from 1 species
GGGCGCCAUGUUGGGUCCUGGCGAGAAUAGUCGUUCUGUCUGGAGCCGCUUCCGGGUGGAGCUUAACACAUGAGUGAUAGCAGCUCCUGCGGGAGCCUUCUCCGCUGCCUUCGCGGCGGGGACAGGUUUUUGUGUAAUUGAGGCGUUGUGCUGUCACCGCAACAGGCGGACCGCGGUGAGUACUAGGCUAGCCCGCGCUACCUACCAGUCGGCUGGGGUUCAGAGUAAGCCGCUUUCUCCAAAGCCAAUGAGAAGACUCAGCGGGUAAAGGCACGUUACCAUCACCAUCACGGUGGAGGGAGAGGACCGACCCGAGUUGUUCGCCAGCUUUAACCGGCGCGCACAGGCAAUAGAAAUGAAUCCUAGGCCGAGCAUGGUGGCGCACGCCUUUAAUCCCAGCACUCGGGAGGCAGAGGCAGGCGGAUUUCUGAGUUCGAGGCCAGCCUGGUCUACACAGUGAGUGCCAGGACAGCCAGGGCUACACAGAGAAACCCUGUCUCGAAAAACCAAAAAACAAAACAAAACAGAGUAAGCCGCUUUCUCCAAAGCCAAUGAGAAGACUCAGCGGGUAAAGGCACGUUACCAUCAUGGUGGAGGGAGAGGACCGACCCGAGUUGUUCGCCAGCUUUAACCGGCGCGCACAGGCAAUAGAAAUGAAUCCUAGGCCGGGCGUGGUGGCGCACGUCUUUAAUCCCAGCACUUGGGAGGCAGAGGCAGGUGAAUUUCUGAGAUCGAGGCCAGCCUGGUCUACAGAGUGAGUUCCAGGACAGCCAGGGCUACACAGAGAAACCCUGUCUCGAAAAACAAAAAAAAAACAAACAAACAAAAAAAAA